ensembl:lncRNA
UCAAAACAUUCAGAAGCCAUAGCAGUGGUUUUGGAGGAGGUUGAGAGGAAACAAACACAAAUGUUAAGUUGGCCUCUGACAGAUCUGAUGGAUGCAGGCAGAUGUCGUACAGCUCUCACACAAAUCCAGAGUGUGCUGAUUGAGGUACUCACCAAGCUGCAUUUGGAGAAGAAUAAUCUUGCCCAAAAAUACUGGAGUGUGUCUUGUUCUCUUCAGCACCGUCUCUUGAAAAGUCAGCUCAUCUCUCUUGCUUCAUAUCAGCGAAAGUUGAUGGAAAUCCUCCAUAAGCAAAUGUAUUUGGUAACAAAUUAUGUGACCAUGAAAGGCAAAUUACCAACUCAGCCUUCCAUUUAUCAACAAGGCAACAUAAGAGAGCAUCAAAGGCCAGACCUCUCCUUCCCCAUAGCUUCCAUACCAAAAUCUUUAAAACAUCAAGAAGCACACAACUGUGAUCAAGAAGCACAACACAGAGAAAGAUCAGGUACACAGGCCAGUGUGUUCACUUCGCCCUCUGGAAACAACACCCAGGGCAUGAAGGCUCCAUUAUACACUGUUAAUGACAAGUAUAAGACUUGUGAAGGUAUCCCAAAACAAGGAACCUGCAACACUUUACAACACAUCAAGAUGGCAAGAAAGAAGGCACUCAUAAAAUCAAAGACAGAAGACAGCAUGAUAAAUCUUUAUCAGCUCAUUCGAGGGGGGGUCAUACCACCUGGAGGCACUCUACAACUGUUUUUAAAGGGUCACUGGCACCUUGCUCAUGUUCAGGCUGAUGGCUCCAUAAUGAGUAAAGGCAAGUUGUACCUGGACCCUAAACAAUGGGUGCAGUCUUUCCUUGGUAACAGUUUACCUAUCAGCUCAACAUAUGCCCACGACAAGGUUAGACACCAGAUUGCUGUAAUAUUAUUAGUUAGGUAA